ACAGUCUUGAAGAUGCAAUGUCAGCUAUUUAGGACAAACACCCAAGGCCGUGUUAGAACUCAAUUACGACUACAUAUGCGUUAAAGCAGGAACUGGCAGGCCUCUGGACUACAGCAACUAUAGGACUCGUGCUUCUCGUACGCUGGGCUAUAAUUUAUGAAAACUGAGCCCCAGAUCCAGCCAAUCAUUUAGCUCCUCAUAACAAGUCUAACUGGCUCUGGAAAGCUGAAAGGACUGCGCUAGAACAACAAAGAUGAGAUAUUCCACACAAUAAUCUGCUUAUCUGGAAUCACUUUCCCUUGCCAGGCCAGAGAGAAAUCGCAGCUUCAUCGUCUGAGGAAAGGAGGACAGAUGACCCUGGAAAAUGCAACGACACCUGGAGCAAGAGCUUUUCCUGGCUUGGCAAUCCUAACAGUGCCGGCAUUAAAGGAGAGGGCUGCCCCUGGAAACCGAAGGGCAGCUACAGCAGUGAAAACCGGAGUGCUGCUGCCUACAGUGACUAUGUGAGAACCGAACCUUCUGAGGAAGCCAGGUUAUUAAAAUUUUUGUUCCCUUUACUCAAAGAUAGCAUGGAUUCUCUAGUCUGAAAUGGAAAGCAAGCUCUUAAGGUAAUAUUGUCACUGAAUCCUCAACACACAGAACUUCCUGUUUCCCAUUCCCUUAAUAAAAUUCUAUUAAAAU
rnacentral:lncRNA from 1 species